rnacentral:rRNA from 1 species
CACGUAGGGUGCAAGCGUUGUCCGGAAUCAUUGGGCGUAAAGAGCUCGUAGGCGGCUUAGUAAGUCGGGUGUGAAAACCCCAGGCUCAACCUGGGGACGCCACCCGAUACUGCUAUAGCUAGAGUCCAGUAGGGGAGAGUGGAAUUCCCAGUGUAGCGGUGAAAUGCGCAGAUAUUGGGAGGAACACCAGCGGCGAAGGCGGCACUCUGGGCUGGUACUGACGCUGAGGAGCGAAAGCGUGGGUAGCGAACAGG